UACGUAGGGGGCAAGCGUUGUCCGGAUUUAUUGGGCGUAAAGAGCGUGUAGGCGGCCAGACAGGUCAGCUGUGAAAACUCGAGGCUCAACCUCGAGACGUCGGUUGAAACCGUCUGGCUAGAGUCCGGAAGAGGAGAGUGGAAUUCCCGGUGUAGCGGUGAAAUGCGCAGAUAUCGGGAAGAACACCCGUGGCGAAGGCGGCUCUCUGGGGCUUUGCUGACGCUGAUGCGCGAAAGCGUGGGGAGCGAUCCGG
rnacentral:rRNA from 1 species